rnacentral:rRNA from 1 species
UACGUAGGGGGGCCAGCGUUGCUCGGAAUUACUGGGCGUAAAGGGUUCGUAGGCGGUGCGGCAAGUUGGGAGUGAAAUCUCUGGGCUUAACCCAGAGGCUGCUUUCAAAACUGCCGCGCUCGAGUGCGAGAGAGGUCAGUGGAAUUGCAGGUGUAGCGGUGAAAUGCGUAGAUAUCUGCAGGAACACCAGAGGCGAAGGCGGCUCACUGGAUCGCAACUGACGCUGAGAGACGAAAGCUAGGGGAGCAAACAGG